rnacentral:rRNA from 1 species
UACAGAGGGUGCAAGCGUUGUUCGGAAUUACUGGGCGUAAAGCGCGUGUAGGUGGCGAUGUAAGUCGGGUGUGAAAUCCCUCGGCUCAACCGAGGAAGUGCACUCGAUACUGUGUCGCUUGAGUGUUGGAGGGGAUGGCGGAAUUCCCGGUGUAGAGGUGAAAUUCGUAGAUAUCGGGAGGAACACCUGUGGCGAAGGCGGCCAUCUGGACAACUACUGACACUGAGACGCGAAAGCGUGGGUAGCAAACAAG